AUACGUAGGGUGCAAGCGUUAAUCGGAAUUACUGGGCGUAAAGCGUGCGCAGGCGGUUUUGUAAGUCUGACGUGAAAUCCCCGGGCUCAACCUGGGAAUUGCGUUGGAGACUGCAAGGCUGGAGUCUGGCAGAGGGGGGUAGAAUUCCACGUGUAGCAGUGAAAUGCGUAGAGAUGUGGAGGAACACCGAUGGCGAAGGCAGCCCCCUGGGUCAAGACUGACGCUCAUGCACGAAAGCGUGGGGAGC
rnacentral:rRNA from 1 species